ensembl:lncRNA
AGAACACAAACAUUCAGCCCAGAUAUGGAGAGGCAGCUGGGUAUUUACAUUACCCAACAGAGCAAAGAGGCUGCUGAGUGUGCUAAAUGCUCUCCAAAUGCCCAAGGGGCACCCUCAAGAUUUGAACAUGCAAACAGAGGAGCUUAAUCAUGGAUACUGAGAACCAGAAUGAUUCCAUUUAUAGCAGUAAAGUCCUGAAAGGCAAGGUUGCCACUCCUCAAUGCUGCAAAAUGUCUGCCAAAGGAAUGAGGCUAUAUAAUUCCUCUUGGGAUCUUGGUAAAGAGAGUCCACUGCAUUUUAUAAGCAUGGAAAGAAGUCCUGAGCUUCAUACUGACUGGGCCACCACCGAACUGAUGUCUGUGACCAGUGGAAUACCAGAGGCUAAGUAGGUUAGGCCUGGAUUGCCUCAACUAAAUACUAUGGCAGAGAAUGGAUGGCCCAGAGUGGUUAAGAGUAAUGAGGGUUCACAGUUGGAGGUGGUGGUAGAAUCAGUUCCACCCAUAUCAAGUAGUUCCUUAGAAGAGAACCACAAUGUCCACUGCAGAAAAUAAUUUGGAAAGACC